UAACGACUCACCCAGAUCAUUUAGUUCUUUGAUUAGUAGAAGUUAGCCUGUUUUGUGAUCUUUUCUCAUUGACAUUUUAAAUCUUUCUAUAAAAUAUGCAGGAUUAUAACCCUCCGCAUCACCAGGAUCGCAGACCUCAUCUAUGAUACACAGGUGCAAUCUGGAUGCUGAUGAACAUACUUUGCCACCAGGGACAGGGGCUGGGGGUGCAGGAACAACUAUGCCAGAGGCACCACUGAGUCUCUGCG
rnacentral:lncRNA from 1 species